GGUCAAGCGAACAAGUGCAUGUGGUGGAUGCCUUGGCGAUCACAGGCGAUGAAGGACGCGGUAGCCUGCGAAAAGCCCCGGGGAGCUGGCAAACAAGCUUUGAUCCGGGGAUGUCCGAAUGGGGAAACCCACUCCGUAUGGAGUAUCCAUGACUGAAUACAUAGGUCAUGUGAAGCGAACGCGGUGAACUGAAACAUCUAAGUAACCGCAGGAAAAGAAAUCAACCGAGAUUCCCAAAGUAGUGGCGAGCGAAAUGGGAUGAGCCUUGUACUCUUUAUUCGUAUUGUUAGCCGAACGCUCUGGAAAGUGCGGCCAUAGCAGGUGAUAGCCCUGUAGGCGAAAACAGUAUGAAAGAACUAGGUGUACGACAAGUAGGGCGGGACACGUGAAAUCCUGUCUGAAGAUGGGGGGACCAUCCUCCAAGGCUAAAUACUCGUGAUCGACCGAUAGUGAACCAGUACCGUGAGGGAAAGGCGAAAAGAACCCCGGGAGGGGAGUGAAAUAGAUCCUGAAACCGCAUGCAUACAAACAGUCGGAGCCUCGUAAGGGGUGACGGCGUACCUUUUGUAUAAUGGGUCAGCGACUUACGUUCAGUAGCAAGCUUAACCGUAUAGGGCAGGCGUAGCGAAAGCGAGUCCGAAUAGGGCGUUCAGUUGCUGGGCGUAGACCCGAAACCAGGUGAUCUAUCCAUGGCCAGGAUGAAGGUGCGGUAACACGUACUGGAGGUCCGAACCCACUAACGUUGAAAAGUUAGGGGAUGAGCUGUGGAUAGGGGUGAAAGGCUAAACAAACCUGGAAAUAGCUGGUUCUCUCCGAAAACUAUUUAGGUAGUGCCUCGUGUCUCACCUUCGGGGGUAGAGCACUGUCAUGGUUGGGGGGUCUAUUGCAGAUUACCCCGCCAUAGCAAACUCCGAAUACCGAAGAGUGCAAUCACGGGAGACAGACAUCGGGUGCUAACGUCCGGUGUCAAGAGGGAAACAACCCAGACCGCCAGCUAAGGUCCCCAAAUAUGGCUAAGUGGGAAACGAAGUGGGAAGGCUAAAACAGUCAGGAGGUUGGCUUAGAAGCAGCCACCCUUUAAAGAAAGCGUAAUAGCUCACUGAUCGAGUCGUCCUGCGCGGAAGAUGUAACGGGGCUAAGCCAUAUACCGAAGCUGCGGAUGCGUGCUUGCACGCAUGGUAGGAGAGCGUUCCGUAAGCCUGCGAAGGUGCCUUGUAAAGGGUGCUGGAGGUAUCGGAAGUGCGAAUGCUGACAUGAGUAGCGAUAAAGGGGGUGAAAGGCCCCCUCGCCGUAAGCCCAAGGUUUCCUACGCAACGUUCAUCGGCGUAGGGUGAGUCGGCCCCUAAGGCGAGGCAGAAAUGCGUAGCUGAUGGGAAGCAGGUCAAUAUUCCUGCACCGUCGUUAGAUGCGAUGGGGGGACGGAUCGCGGAAGGUUGUCCGGGUGUUGGACGUCCCGGUCGCUGCAUUGGAGAAGGCGCUUAGGCAAAUCCGGGCGCGGAAUUCAAGGGUGUGGCGCGAGCGACUUCGGUCGCGAAGCAAUUGGAAGUGGUUCCAAGAAAAGCCUCUAAGCUUCAGUCUAACGAUGACCGUACCGCAAACCGACACAGGUGGGCGAGAUGAGUAUUCUAAGGCGCUUGAGAGAACUCGGGAGAAGGAACUCGGCAAAUUGGUACCGUAACUUCGGGAUAAGGUACGCCCUUGUAGCUUGACCAGCCUGCGCUGGAAGGGUGAAGGGGUUGCAAUAAACUGGUGGCUGCGACUGUUUAAUAAAAACACAGCACUCUGCAAACACGAAAGUGGACGUAUAGGGUGUGACGCCUGCCCGGUGCCGGAAGAUUAAAUGAUGGGGUGCAAGCUCUUGAUUGAAGUCCCGGUAAACGGCGGCCGUAACUAUAACGGUCCUAAGGUAGCGAAAUUCCUUGUCGGGUAAGUUCCGACCUGCACGAAUGGCGUAACGAUGGCCACACUGUCUCCUCCCGAGACUCAGCGAAGUUGAAGUGUUUGUGAUGAUGCAAUCUACCCGCGGCUAGACGGAGAGACCCCAUGAACCUUUACUGUAGCUUUGCAUUGGACUUUGAACCGAUCUGUGUAGGAUAGGUGGGAGGCUAUGAAACCGGAACGCUAGUUUCGGUGGAGCCGUCCUUGAAAUACCACCCUGGUUUGUUUGAGGUUCUAACCUUGGUCCGUGAUCCGGAUCGGGGACAGUGCAUGGUAGGCAGUUUGACUGGGGCGGUCUCCUCCCAAAGGGUAACGGAGGAGUACGAAGGUACGCUAGGUACGGUCGGAAAUCGUGCUGAUAGUGCAAUGGCAUAAGCGUGCUUAACUGCGAGACCGACAAGUCGAGCAGGUGCGAAAGCAGGUCAUAGUGAUCCGGUGGUUCUGUAUGGAAGGGCCAUCGCUCAACGGAUAAAAGGUACUCUGGGGAUAACAGGCUGAUACCGCCCAAGAGUUCAUAUCGACGGCGGUGUUUGGCACCUCGAUGUCGGCUCAUCUCAUCCUGGGGUUGUAGCCGGUCCCAAGGGUAUGGCUGUUCGCCAUUUAAAGAGGUACGUGAGCUGGGUUUAAAACGUCGUGAGACAGUUUGGUCCCUAUCUGCCGUGGGCGUUGGAUAUUUGAAGGGGGCUGCUCCUAGUACGAGAGGACCGGAGUGGACGAACCUCUGGUGUACCGGUUGUGACGCCAGUCGCAUCGCCGGGUAGCUAUGUUCGGAAGAGAUAACCGCUGAAAGCAUCUAAGCGGGAAACUCGCCUUAAGAUGAGAUAUCCCUGGAGGCUUGACCUCCUUGAAGGGUCGUUCGAGACCAGGACGUUGAUAGGUCGGGUGUGUAAGCGCAGUAAUGCGUUCAGCUAACCGAUACUAAUUGCCCGUAAGGCUUGAUCCU
rnacentral:rRNA from 1 species